rnacentral:rRNA from 1 species
UCUUCUUUGCUGGCGACCGGCGCACGGGUGAGUAACACGUAUCCAACCUGCCUUUACUCGGGGAUAGCCUUUCGAAAGAAGGAUUAAUACCCGAUAGCAUAAUGAUUCCGCAUGGUUUCAUUAUUAAAGGAUUCCGGUAAAGGAUGGGGAUGCGUUCCAUUAGGUUGUUGGUGAGGUAACGGCCCACCAAGCCUUCGAUGGAUAGGGGUUCUGAGAGGAAGGUCCCCCACAUUGGAACUGAGACACGGUCCAA